rnacentral:sRNA from 1 species
UUUUUUUGUAUUUUUUUA